rnacentral:lncRNA from 1 species
UCGACUACUGUUGGUGAACUCCCAUCGCUCCGUCCACAACUUCUGCUGCAAGGAAGACUCCGCCCGGGCUCCUACGGGAGCCGGGCUCCGUCCACAACUUCUACUACAAGGAAGACUCCACCCGGACUCCUACAGGAGGCAGGCUCUGUCCACAACUUCUACUGCAAGGAGGACUCUGCCCGGGCUCCUAUGGGAGCCGAGCUUCGUCCACAACUUCUGCUGCAAGGAAGACUCCGUCCGGAC